AAACGUAGGAGACGAGCGUUAUCCGGAUUUACUGGGCGUAAAGAGCGUGUAGGAGGCAAUACAAGUUGGAUGUAAAAUCUCCCGGCUUAACUGGGAGGCGUCGUUCAAGACUGUAUAGCUGGAGUAGUGGAGAGGUAAUCGGAACUCCGGGAGUAGCGGUGAAAUGCGUAGAUAUCCGGAAGAACACCAGAGGCGAAAGCGGAUUACUGGCCACCAACUGACACUGAGACGCGAAAGCCAGGGUAGCAAACGGGAUUAGAGACCCCGGUAGUCCUGGCCGUAAACGAUGUAGACUCGUCGUUUGGCCUGUAAAAGGGCUGAGUGACUAAGCAAACGCAAUAAGUCUACCGCCUGGGGAGUACGGUCGCAAGAUUAAAACUCAAAGGAAUUGACGGGG
rnacentral:rRNA from 1 species